rnacentral:rRNA from 1 species
GACGAACCGUCCUAACGUUGUUCGGAAUCACUGGGCUUAAAGGGCGCGUAGGCGGCCUUGAAAGUCGGGGGUGAAAUCCCACGGCCUAACCGUGGAAGUGCCUCCGAUACUGCAAGGCUCGAGGGAGGUAGGGGCAGCUGGAACUUCCGGUGGAGCGGUGAAAUGCGUUGAGAUGUGGAGGAACACCGAUGGCGAAGGCAGCCUUCUGGGCCAACACUGACGCUCAUGCACGAAAGCGUGGGGAGCAAACAGG